AUAAUGAUACUCCUGCAUAGUCACAGUCCGUGCGUUAGUAGCGUCCCCGGCAAUGAGUGCAGCUUGGAGAGAACCUCGGAGGGGUGGAAUUCCCGUGG
ncrna:unclassified sequences pemK RNA